rnacentral:piRNA from 1 species
UGAGGAUAUCCAGUACAUGCAGGUACCU